rfam:Bradyrhizobium lablabi strain CCBAT 23086 scaffold33, whole genome shotgun sequence.
CGGGGACAAAGCAGGCUCCCCGUCAGACGGCCCAUCGUCCAAGCUCUGC